GUGUCAGCAGCCGCGGUAAUACAGAGGUCCCAAGCGUUGUUCGGAUUCACUGGGCGUAAAGGGUGCGUAGGUGGCGGGGUAAGUCGGAUGUGAAAGCUCGGAGCUCAACUCCGAAAUGGCAUUGGAAACUACCCUGCUAGAGGAUUGGAGGGGGGACUGGAAUACUUGGUGUAGCAGUGAAAUGCGUAGAUAUCAAGUGGAACACCAGUGGCGAAGGCGAGUCCCUGGACAACUCCUGACACUGAGGCACGAAAGCUAGGGGAGCAAACAGGAUUAGAAACCCCUGUAGUCC
rnacentral:rRNA from 1 species